AUUGAUUAACAAUUGAUAUUAUUAUAUAUUUAUAUAUAUACGUAUAUACGGAUAAAUGAAUUUCCUCGAAUCUAACAAUAAUAAUAAAACCCAAUAUUUUUCUCUAUGAGUCUCGGAAUAUGUAAAUAUCUCGUGUAUAAGAAGAUAAUGUGCCGUAAAUGUAAACACGACCGUGACUCUCCAUCUAAACAAAUACGUGUAACCUCUUAAGCAGUCGGUUAUUGGAUCUCAACGUGAGCGUAAGUGUGUCAGCAUUGAAGCAACGUUAAUGUCGAUACUUUGUGAUUUGGUGGACAUCGAUCGUAUAAUACUUCAAGGGAAUUAAUUACAAAGGUUAACGACGUUGCCCUGAGACGAUCAUCGAGGAGGAGAGCGGUUAACGCCGCCUGGCAAACGUUUCUCGUUUAAAAAGGAGAGAAACCGAAACGAGACUGGCAGGUAUCGAGCUUAGCGAGAAGGUAUAGCUCGGGGCCACAAGAAGAACGAACCGAAAAAGGAAGACAGAGAAAGAGGAAUCACGACGACGACGGACUCGACGAAGACGACGAGGACGAGGAAGACGACGACGAGGAAGAAAACUGAGCGAGAAGGCACUUCGUCUGACAUCUGGAAGUUCAGCGACAACAACAAUCUAAGAGAAAGGGAGAGAGAAAGAGAGAAGAAGAGGGAGAGAGAGAGAGAGAGAGAAGGAGAAGAAGCUCCACCAGGUUUCUUGGACAUUGAAGAAGAAGAGAAAGAAGAGGGGACUCCGAAACUUGGUAAGUUCUACGAGAGCAUCGGGCCAGCCAGUCGAGACAGCCAUAACCAUCAUCCUCGCGUACAUCGUGCGAGAGCGAGAAAUUCACUAACAGGAAUGGGGAGGGAGGUGGACUACUAUCUAGCUUCUUCUCUGCUGACUUGCUCUCGGUUCUGCGUCUUACAGGAAGGAACGAGAGUUGCUCGCUUCUUUGAUAGAAAACGCACGGACACGCUCAACUUCGAAGGCUUCAGGCAAGGAUCUUCCUAACCUUCGAAAUAAUCCUAGGUUCCUUACAGCAAGUCAUCCUGCGUCUGUUAAAUUAAUCUUUGAUAACUUAACUAUACAAGGAAUAGAAGAAAAAGAAAAACAAGAAGAAGGAGAGGAAAGAGAAAAUGAAA